UUACACAUGUUGUAUAUUGGCUAUAUUAAACACCAAAAAAUAAUCAUUUUUCUUAACAGUUCCCCCUUUUGAGGUCUUUUUCAAAAGACCUCAAUAAAAAUUGAGUACGCCUUCUAAUACAGAAGCAAAACUAUGUAAUACAUAACGAAAAAAAACCAAAAAAAUAAAAAGACAAAAGAGUGACGUACCCUAAUUACAUACAAUCCCCCUUUGAAACAAAACCCAAGGUGUAGAAAGACUUAUCCUUAAAAGUGUAAAAUCAUAAAACAAAAUCAUCACAAUCCUACCAAAACACAGGACAAACAAAAACCCAAAGUGUAAAA